rnacentral:rRNA from 1 species
UCUGCCCAUCAGACGGGGACAACGAUUGGAAACGAUCGCUAAUACCGGAUAGGACGAAAGUUUAAAGGUGCUUCUGGCACCGCUGAUGGAUGAGCCUGCGGCGCAUUAGCUAGUUGGUAGGGUAAAGGCCUACCAAGGCGACGAUGCGUAGCCGACCUGAGAGGGUGAACGGCCACACUGGGACUGAGACACGGCCCAGACUCCUACGGGAGGCAGCAGUAGGGAAUCUUCGGCAAUGGGCGAAAGCCUGACCGAGCAACGCCGCGUGAAUGAUGAAGGCCUUCGGGUUGUAAAAUUCUGUUAUAAGGGAAGAACGACUUUAGUAGGAAAUGGCUAGAGUGUGACGGUACCUUAUGAGAAAGCCACGGCUAACUACGUGCCAGCAGCCGCGGUAAUACGUAGGUGGCGAGCGUUAUCCGGAAUUAUUGGGCGUAAAGAGCGCGCAGGUGGUUGAUUAAGUCUGAUGUGAAAGCCCACGGCUUAACCGUGGAGGGUCAUUGGAAACUUGGUCGAAUUGAGUGCAGAAAAGGGAAGUGGAAUUCCAUGUGUAGCGGUGAAAUGCGUAGAGAUAUGGAGGAACAACCAGUGGCGAAGGCGGCUUCCUGGUCUGUAACUGACACUGAGGCGCGAAAGCGUGGGGAGCAAACAGGAUUAAAUACCCUGGUAUUCCACGCCGUAAACGAUGAGUGCUA